rnacentral:ncRNA from 1 species
AAACUUUGGAGAAGCUCAUUUGAUUGAGUGCCGAAGGGGCAAGGCGAUUGACGCUAAUCUCUCAGGCAAAAGGACAAAGU